rnacentral:rRNA from 1 species
AUUGAACGCUGGCGGCAUGCCUUACACAUGCAAGUCGAACAGUAACGGGUCCUUCGGGAUGCCGACGAGUGGCGAACGGGUGAGUAAUACGUGAGCAACCUGCCCUUGACUUCGGGAUAACUGCGGGAAACUGUAGCUAAUACCGGAUAUGACCUCGGAAGGCAUCUUCUGAGGUGGAAAGUUUUUUCGGUCAAGGAUGGGCUCGCGGCCUAUCAGCUUGUUGGUGAGGUAACGGCUCACCAAGGCAACGACGGGUAGCCGGCCUGAGAGGGUGACCGGCCACACUGGGACUGAGAUACGGCCCAGACUCCUACGGGAGGCAGCAGUGGGGAAUAUUGCACAAUGGGCGAAAGCCUGAUGCAGCAACGCCGCGUGAGGGACGACGGCCUUCGGGUUGUAAACCUCUUUUAGUAGGGAAGAAGCGAAAGUGACGGUACCUGCAGAAAAAGCACCGGCUAACUACGUGCCAGCCGCCGCCGUAA